GGGGUAACGGCCCACCAAGGCGACGAUGACUAGGGGAUCUGAGAGGAUGACCCCCCACACUGGUACUGAGACACGGACCAGACUCCUACGGGAGGCAGCAGUAAGGAAUAUUGGUCAAUGGAGGCAACUCUGAACCAGCCAUGCCGCGUGCAGGAAGACAGCCCUCUGGGUCGUAAACUGCUUUUAUUCGGGAAUAAACCACAUUACGUGUAAUGUGCUGAAUGUACCGAAGGAAUAAGGAUCGGCUAACUCCGUGCCAGCAGCCGCGGUAAUACGGAGGAUCCAAGCGUUAUCCGGAUUUAUUGGGUUUAAAGGGUGCGUAGGCGGCCUAUUAAGUCAGGGGUGAAAGACGGUGGCUCAACCAUCGCAGUGCCUUUGAUACUGAUGAGCUUGAAUACACUAGAGGUAGGCGGAAUGUGACAAGUAGCGGUGAAAUGCAUAGAUAUGUCACAGAACACCGAUUGCGAAGGCAGCUUACUAUGGUGUGAUUGACGCUGAGGCACGAAAGCGUGGGGAUCAAACAGGAUUAGAUACCCUGGUAGUCCACGCCCUAAACGAUGAAUACUCGCUGUUAGCGAUAUACAGUUAGCGGCUAAGCGAAAGCGUUAAGUAUUCCACCUGGGGAGUACGCCCGCAAGGGUGAAACUCAAAGGAAUUGACGGGGGCCCGCACAAGCGGAGGAGCAUGUGGUUUAAUUCGAUGAUACGCGAGGAACCUUACCCGGGCUUGAAAGUUAGUGAAUCAUUUAGAGAUAGAUGAGUCCGCAAGGACACGAAACUAGGUGCUGCAUGGCUGUCGUCAGCUCGUGCCGUGAGGUGUUGGGUUAAGUCCCGCAACGAGCGCAACCCCUAUGUUUAGUUGCCAGCACGUUAUGGUGGGGACUCUAAACAGACUGCCUGUGCAAACAGAGAGGAAGGAGGGGACGACGUCAAGUCAUCAUGGCCCUUACGUCCGGGGCUACACACGUGCUACAAUGGAUGGUACAGAGGACAGCAAGCUGGCAACAGCAAGCGAAUCUCAAAAAGCCAUUCACAGUUCGGAUAGAGGUCUGCAACUCGACCUCUUGAAGAUGGAUUCGCUAGUAAUCGCGUAUCAGCAAUGACGCGGUGAAUACGUUCCCGGGCCUUGUACACACCGCCCGUCAAGCCAUGGAAGUUGGGGGUACCUGAAGUAUGUAACCGCAAGGAGCGUCCUAGGGUAAAACCGAUAACUGGGGCUAAGUCGUAACAAGGUA
rnacentral:rRNA from 1 species